CUCCCCGGAAAUGAGAUACCCAUAGCCGGUCUCACUCUACAAUGAGUAUAGUUGACGAUUUCCUAUCUCAUCCAUUAGAGAGAGUGUAGAUAUAUAAUUAUAUAAAUUCAUUUUCUAAUUAUAUCUACAGGGUAAGGCAACGGGAGGAAUACACCCAUAGGAUUCGAAAGUGGUUCAAACUAGGUGGAUGAUUGAUAUAUCCUUUUGAUUUAUGU
rnacentral:lncRNA from 1 species